rnacentral:rRNA from 1 species
GGGUUGUGAGGUUAAGCGACUAAGCGUACACGGUGGAUGCCCUGGCAGUCAGAGGCGAUGAAGGGCGUGCUAAUCUGCGAUAAGCGCCGGUAAGGUGAUAUGAACCGUUAUAACCGGCGAUACCCGAAUGGGGAAACCCAGUGUGAUUCGUCACACUAUCAUUAACUGAAUCCAUAGGUUAAUGAGGCGAACCGGGGGAACUGAAACAUCUAAGUACCCCGAGGAAAAGAAAUCAACCGAGAUUCCCCCAGUAGCGGCGAGCGAACGGGGAGGAGCCCAGAGCCUGAAUCAGCAUGUGUGUUAGUGGAAGCGUCUGGAAAGGCGCGCGAUACAGGGUGACAGCCCCGUACACAAAAGCGCAUGUGCUGUGAGCUCGAUGAGUAGGGCGGGACACGUGGUAUCCUGUCUGAAUAUGGGGGGACCAUCCUCCAAGGCUAAAUACUCCUGACUGACCGAUAGUGAACCAGUACCGUGAGGGAAAGGCGAAAAGAACCCCGGCGAGGGGAGUGAAAAAGAACCUGAAACCGUGUACGUACAAGCAGUGGGAGCACCCUUUGGGUGUGACUGCGUACCUUUUGUAUAAUGGGUCAGCGACUUAUAUUCUGUAGCAAGGUUAACCGAAUAGGGGAGCCGGAGGGAAACCGAGUCUUAACCGGGCGUUAAGUUGCAGGGUAUAGACCCGAAACCCGGUGAUCUAGCCAUGGGCAGGUUGAAGGUUGGGUAACACUAACUGGAGGACCGAACCGACUAAUGUUGAAAAAUUAGCGGAUGACCUGUGGCUGGGGGUGAAAGGCCAAUCAAACCGGGAGAUAGCUGGUUCUCCCCGAAAGCUAUUUAGGUAGCGCCUCGUGAAUUCAUCUCCGGGGGUAGAGCACUGUUUCGGCUAGGGGGCCAUCCCGGCUUACCAACCCGAUGCAAACUGCGAAUACCGGAGAAUGUUAUCACGGGAGACACACGGCGGGUGCUAACGUCCGUCGUGAAGAGGGAAACAACCCAGACCGCCAGCUAAGGUCCCAAAGUCAUGGUUAAGUGGGAAACGAUGUGGGAAGGCCCAGACAGCCAGGAUGUUGGCUUAGAAGCAGCCAUCAUUUAAAGAAAGCGUAAUAGCUCACUGGUCGAGUCGGCCUGCGCGGAAGAUGUAACGGGGCUAAACCAUGCACCGAAGCUGCGGCAGCGACACUGUGUGUUGUUGGGUAGGGGAGCGUUCUGUAAGCCUGUGAAGGUGUGUCGUGAGGCAUGCUGGAGGUAUCAGAAGUGCGAAUGCUGACAUAAGUAACGAUAAAGCGGGUGAAAAGCCCGCUCGCCGGAAGACCAAGGGUUCCUGUCCAACGUUAAUCGGGGCAGGGUGAGUCGACCCCUAAGGCGAGGCCGAAAGGCGUAGUCGAUGGGAAACGGGUUAAUAUUCCCGUACUUGGUGUUACUGCGAAGGGGGGACGGAG